UCACGACUACUGAAUAUGAAAACUCCACUUGAACUCUUGCUCAAUGAACUUCCAGACUACACUUUUCUCAAAGUUUUUGGGUGUGCUUGUUGGCCUCAUUUGCGUCCGUAUAACAAACAUAAGCUAGAGUUUCGGUCGAAAAAGUGUGUUUUUCUUGGCUAUAGUUCCCUUCACAAAGGGUACAAAUGCCUACAUGUUCCCACCAAUCGCAUUUACAUCUCUCGUGACGUCGUGUUUGAUGAGAAUGUGUUCCCUUUUCGUGCACUUCCGAACAACUCUAUCACUCCUCUACCGGACGUUUCUUCUACCACACCUUCGCCUGAUCAAUUUGUAGAUGUUGCAUAUGCUCCUGCGUUGCUUCCUAAUCAUGCUGCAGGUGUUGGACGUGGUGCUCAUCUUGAGCUCCUUGAGGAACAGGCACCGCCAGCAGCCCUGGACUUGGACGUCGGUCCUCUGCAUGGGGCAUGCAUACCGGGC
rnacentral:rRNA from 1 species